UGAGAGCACAGUGAGGCAGGCAGGGCAGGGACAGUCCCCACAGGGACGUGCCCAGCCCCGCUGGGUGCCUGCAAGGAGAACUCCCCGUGAGCAGGAGGUGCCCCCAGGUCACAGCAUCCACUUCCUGGGGUAAUCCUGCAUUCCCAAAAUGCUCAUCAAUGGUUAGUUUGGCUUUUCCAGCAGGAAAAUGGAAAAAAAAACAACCCAGGAAUCAGGGAAGGGACAGUCCCAAAAAGGGAUGUGCCCAGCCCUGCUGGGUGCCUGCAAGGAGAACUCCCCGUUAGCAGGAGGUGCCCCCAGGUCACAGCAUCGAUUUCCUGGGAUUCCCAAAAUGCUCAUCCCUGGGGGAAUGGUUAGUUUGGCUUUUCCAGCAGGAAAAAGGAAAAAAAAAAACCA